CUGAGACUUUUCUCAUUUUCUUUGUAUUUUUACUAAUUUGGCUUGAUUGGUCUAGCUAGGGCAUUAUGUUGUGGCCUUCAUAAACUUAAUGAGAGAAGCAGAGUUGAAGCUUAUCGAGGCAUAAAAGAAGCUGAAGGCUGUCGAAGUCGAAGCUCAAGUUCAGGCCAAGGCGGCCAAAGGCUUAAGGAAGGAACUGGAGAGGGCAAAGGUGGAUAAGGUCAGGCC
rnacentral:lncRNA from 1 species